AGAGUUUGAUCAUAGCUCAGGAUGAACGCUAGCGGUGCGCCUAACACAUGCAAGUCGAACGGAGUGUUUUUGGAGCUUGCUCCAGAAACACUGAGUGGCAAACGGGUGAGUAACGAGUUUGUACCUGCCCCGUAGUGAGGGAUACCCUAUCGAAAGAUAGGUUAAUACCGCAUAAUCUCGCAAGAGUAAAGCCGCAAGGCGCUACGGGAGGGGCAUGCUUUCUAUCAGCUAGUUGGUGAGGUAAUGGCUCACCAAGGCAAUGACGGAUAGCUGGUCUGAGAGGACGACCAGCCACAAUGGGACUGAGACACGGCCCAUACUCCUACGGGAGGCAGCAGUGAGGAAUCUUCCGCAAUGGGCGAAAGCCUGACGGAGCGACACCGCGUGAAGGAUGAAGCGUUUACUCGUGUAAACUUCUUUUCUGUGGGAAGAUAAUGACGGUACCACAGGAAUAAGGGGCGGCAAACUUCGUGCCAGCAGCCGCGGUAAUACGAAGGCCCCAAGCGUUAUCCGGAAUUACUGGGCGUAAAGAGUUCGUAGGUGGGGAAAUAAGUCAGACGUGAAAGGCUGGAGCUCAACUCCAAGUUUGCGUCCGAAACUAUUUCUCUUGAAUUAGGGAGAGGUAAGCGGAACUGUAUGAGUAGGGGUGCAAUCCGUUGAUACAUACAAGAACACCAAAAGCGAAGGCAGCUUACUGGAACUAUAUUGACACUGAGGAACGAAAGCGUGGGGAGCGAAAAGGAUUAGAUACCCUUGUAGUCCACGCCCUAAACUAUGGACGCUGAGUGUCGGAGCAAUCCGGUGCUUAAAGCUAACGCGUUAAGCGUCCCGCCUGAGAAGUACGGUCGCAAGAUUAAAACUCAAAUGAAUAGACGGGGACCCACACAAGCAGUGGAUCAUGUUGCUUAAUUCGACAAUAAACGAGGAACCUCACCCAGGCUUGACAUCGAAGGAAUCCGGCGGAAACGCUGGAGUACCCGCAAGGGACCCGAAGACAGGCGCUGCAUGGUUGUCGUCAGCUCGUGCCUUGAGGUGUUCGGUUAAGUCCGUUAACGAGCGCAACCCAUGUCAUUAGUUACUAUGUCUAAUGAGACUGCCCGGGUUAACCGGGAGGAAGGUGUGGAUGACGUCAAAUCAGCAUGGCCCUUAUGCCUGGGGCUGCAAACAUGAUACAAUGGUCGGUACAAUGCGCUGCGACUCUGCGAGUAGGAGCUAAUCCCAAAAAGCCGUCUCAGUUCGGAUUGUUCUCUGCAACUCGAGAGCAUGAAGGCGGAAUCGCUAGUAAUCGCGGAUCAGCAUGCCGCGGUGAAUACGUUCCCAGGCUUUGUAUCGUGACUGGGAAAC
rnacentral:rRNA from 1 species